UACGGAGGGGGCUAGCGUUGUUCGGAAUUACUGGGCGUAAAGCGCGCGUAGGCGGCUUUGUAAGUUAGAGGUGAAAGCCCGGAGCUCAAACCUCCGGAACUGCCUUUAAGACUGCAUCGCUAGAAUCAUGGAGAGGUGAGUGGAAUUCCCGGUGUAGCGGUGAAAUGCGCAGAUAUCGGGAAGGAACACCAAUUGCGAAGGCAGCUCGCCUGGGACGUUACUGACGCUGAGAAGCGAAAGCAUGGGGAGCGAACAGGA
rnacentral:rRNA from 1 species